GAUCAUUACAGAGUUCAUGCCCGAAAGGGUAGACCUCCCACCCUUGUGUAUUAUUACUUUGUUGCUUUGGCGAGCUGCCUUCGGGCCUUGUAUGCUCGCCAGAGAAUACCAAAACUCUUUUUAUUAAUGUCGUCUGAGUACUAUAUAAUAGUUAAAACUUUCAACAACGGAUCUCUUGGUUCUGGCAUCGAUGAAGAACGCAGCGAAAUGCGAUAAGUAAUGUGAAUUGCAGAAUUCAGUGAAUCAUCGAAUCUUUGAACGCACAUUGCGCCCCUUGGUAUUCCGGGGGGCAUGCCUGUUCGAGCGUCAUUUCAACCCUCAAGCUUAGCUUGGUAUUGAGUCUAUGUCAGUAAUGGCAGGCUCUAAAAUCAGUGGCGGCGCCGCUGGGUCCUGAACGUAGUAAUAUCUCUCGUUACAGGUUCUCGGUGUGCUUCUGCCAAAACCCAAAUUUUUCUAUGGUUGACCUCGGAUCAGGUAGGGAUACCCGCUGAACUUAAGCAUAUCAAUAAGCCGGAGGAAAUACCUCGGAUCA
rnacentral:rRNA from 1 species